CUCUCUUGUUCUAUCUGUAUCUUCCUCAACUUCUAUCUUCUUUCUUGAAAUUUCAUCCGAAUUCCUAGAUGCUCAACCCUCAACUCGAGGGUGUGACAAAAUACUGAAGAAAUAUAUGGUGAAUUUUGAAUAGGCAUCUUUUUGUGUGAAAUGUUCCCUAGAAAUAUUGGAAACCCAUUGUUUGUGCAUAGAAUUGUGGAAUAGUGUCUAGCCUAGAGUAGAAGACCCCUCUCUCUCUCUCACACAUAGGCACACACACGCUUACGCAUAUAUAAACACACAAAUGCAUAUUUGGGGGAGUGAAAGCCCAUUUAUGUGCUCAUCUAUCUCUCUUCUUUCUUUUAGUGUCUUAUUCUCCUAUUCUUCUGAUGCUGUCAUCGAUCAAGACUCGGUCUAAAGCUAACCCGACCCAAACUGGGCAACCCAGAAUCAGUUCAAACAGUAGUGCCGACACAGUAGCGAAACUUCAUAAGUUUUAGGAUUCUACUUCAUGUUUGGUUAGGGUUUUAUUUCUAUUAGGAUUCUAGUUGGAUUUUAUUUACAAGUAUUAGAUGGAUUAGCCAAACUCUAUAAAUAUACCUAGAAGCUAGGGGUUGUAAUUAGUUUUUUUUAUUCAAUAAAUUCCAGCAAACCAGUUCAGUUUUUUCCAGCAACUAGUUUCGGUUCUUGCACCUAGUGGAGAGUCUAGCUUUGGUCGUUGAAGUUUGUUCUCUCAAGGGUACAUGAAACUUAUUGUUUCAAGGAUUUCUUUGUGUGUUUUCUUUACAUAUGUGCUACACGUUACGUCAGAUGAUAUUAGAGCAGUUAAUCAACCAAUCAGAUGACCAAUUUUAAAGGUAACGGUAGUAACCAACUUCGUGACGGUGAUUAGGGGUUGUUUGCAGUUUGAAGAGUAAUCGAAGAACAACGAGAAGUAACUCGUACCAUCCAACAACAAUUGGAGCAAAUUAGCAACCAAUUGCGCGCCUUACUACGAGUUGAUGACAGGAACUUGAAUAAUGGGGUGAAUUAAGCCAGAGUCGGAAGACCACCCAUUAAUCAUUUAUUUGUUAAUCCUAGAAGACCAAUGAUUGAAGAUAACGAUGAAGAGGAUGAUCUUAGUCGAGCAAGAGCUAACCUUGGUGGAAGAGGGGUUAGGAGGACUGCGUGUUAGCACAACCAUUAGGGCAACGAUGAGUAUAAACUAAAGGUUGAUAUUCCUACCUUUAGUGGAGAUCUUGAUAUUGAGGGGUUCUUGGAUUGGAUCACUGAGGUUAAUCGAUUUUUUGAAUACAUGGAGAUCUCAGAUGAAUGACAAGUCAAGUUAGUGGCUUACAGAUUGAAGGGUGGUGCAUCUGUUUGGUGGGAGCAAUUGAGAUAGACGAGAUUGAGGGAAUGUCGACACCCAGAUUAGACAUGGAGACGAAUGAAGCAGUUGUUAAGAGGUAGUUUUUUACCCCCUGAUUAUGAACAAUACAUGUUUCAAGCCUAGCAAAGAUGUACACAGGGAAUGAAGAGUGUGAAUGAAUGUACCUAUGAGUUUUUGAGAUUGGCGGAGAGAAACCAAUUGUCAGAAAGUGACAAUCAACAAGCAGCUUGUUACUUGAAUGGAUUAAAGCUUGCUAUUCGUGAUAAAAUUGGGGUUCAGAUGGUUUUAAGUGUGCAAGAAGCAAGGAACUUAGCUUUAAAAGCUGAGUUAAUGUUGAGUGAGAGAGCCCGUAAUGAUAACUAUCGUCAGUAUAAUGAGAAUGAAAAUAAACAAGUAGGUUUUGAUAAAGGCAAGUCGGUUCAGGGAAUGCAACCUUUCAAUCCACCUAAUACAGUUAACCCUAAUAAGGCUACAAUAGGGGGAAACACUUGAGGUACUACUUCUAAUCUUCCAAAAUCCAAUAACCCUUGUGCAAAGCCUGUUCUCUUAAAGUGUUUCAAGUGUAAUGAGGUCGGGCACCAAUCUAGUGAUUGCCUAAGGAGAAAAUCAGCUUAUAUUAUAGAAAGGGAGGAGGAAGAUGUUGCUGAAGAGGAAGUAUAUUGCGGGCCUGAUGGGGAGGAUGACAAAGAAGAGUAUGGACAUGGAGAGUAUACCUAUGUAGUGAGGAACUUAAUGCUAUCUCAAAAGAAUGAAGAUACUACUUAGCGGCAUAAGCUUUUCUACACGAGGUGUACGGUGAAAGGAAAAAAUCUUAGAGCUGAUUAUUGAUAGUGUAAGUCAGGAGAACAUCAUAGGAAGAGGCGUGGUGGCAAAGAAGCAGCUAACUCCUGAAAAACAUCCAAACCUUUACAUAAUUGGAUGGAUCAAAGUAGUUGAUGGCAUACGUGUGGAUGAACGUUGUAGGGUGCCUUUCUCUAUUGGUAAGUACUCUAACAAAGUCUAUUGUGAUAUUGUUGGUAUGGAUGCUUGCCAUAUUUUAUUUGGGAGGCCUUGGCAUUUAAUGUGGAUGCUAAGCAUUCGGGUAGGAAGAACACAUAUCAGCUUGAGAAAGAGAGUGCGCGUUAUACUUUGUUACCCAUAGUGGAAAAGAACCAAAUCAAAGCUUCUAAAGUGGAGGGGCAGAAUUUUCUUAUCAUUACACAUAAGUACACUAAGUUUGUGAGGGAGUGUAAGGAUACUCGAGAGGUUCACUUGUUGGUUGUUAAGGGGGAGAGUGUGAGUGAGCCACUGAAGGUGAAUCAAAUUCCAAUGGAGGUGUUGGAAUUGUUGGAAGAAUUUCAUGAUGUGGUUCCGAGGAGUUGCCUAAUUAGCUACCUCCUAUGAGGGAUAUUCAACAUCACAUUGACUUGAUUCCUGGUGCUAGCUUGCCUAACCUACCACACUACAGGAUGAAUCCUAGGGAGAAUGAGAUUUUUUGUGAGUAGAUAGAGGAAUUGUUGAGAAAAUGGCACAUUCAGACUAGCAUGAGUCCAUGUGUAGUGCCAGUUUUAUUGACACCAAAGAAAGAUGGGAGUUAGAGGAUGUGUGUUGACAGUAGAGCCAUCGACAUGAUUACUAUUGGGUACAAGUUUCCAAUUCCUAGGCUCGACAACAUACUUGAUCAAUUUGAUGGGGUUGUGGUUUUUACCAAAAUCGAUCUCAGAAGUGGUAAUUAUGAAAUCAGAAUUCGACCUGGAGAUGAGUGGAAGAUAGCUUUCAAGAUGAGAGAUGGGUUGUUUGAGUGGUUAGUCAUGUCCUUUGGACUAACCAAUGCACUAAGCACUUUCAUGAGACUAAUGAAUCAGGUGCUAUGUCCUUUCAUUGGUAAAUUCGUUGUGGUGUAUUUUGGUGAUAUUUUGAUAUACAGUAAGUCUAUUGAUGAGUAUGUGAGGCAUAUUUAGGAGGUGAUGAGUGUGUUGAGGGAAAACAAACUUUAUCCUAAUUUGAAGAAGUGUACUCUUAUGAGUGAGAGCUUGUUGUUCUUAGGCUUUGUUGUAAGCAAAUAUGGCAUAAAGGUAGAUGAGCAAAAAGUGCAAGCUAUUAAAGAGUAGCCAACCCCUAAAAAUGUCAGUGAUGUAAAGAGUUUUCAUGGGUUAGCAACUUUCUAUAGGCGGUUUAUCAAACACUUUAGUAGUAUUGUGGCUCCAAUUACUGAGUGUUUAAAGAAAGGGAAAUUCCAUUGGGGUGAAGAACAAGAGCAAAGUUUCGCCUUGAUAAAAGAAAAGUUUUGUACCGCUCCUGUCUUAGCUUUGCCAAGCUUUGACAAAUUGUUUGAGUUGAGUGUGAUGCGAGUGGAGUGGGUAUAGGUGCUAUGUUGUCCCAAGAGAAGAGACCAAUUGCAUUUUUCAGUGAGAAGUAUUGUGAAUUCAGAAGAAAGUGGUCUAUUUAUGAUAAGGAGUUUUAUGCAGUGUUGAGGGCUCUUAAAACAUGGGAACAUUACUUGAUUGGCAAAGAGUUUGUCCUUUACGCAGAUUACCAAGCUCUCAAGUAUUUGAGUAGCCAAAACAACCGAGGAGUGAUAUGCAUGCUAGAUGGUUUGCUUUUGUUGAUAAAUUUUUCGUAUAAAAUUGUGCAUAAGUUGAGACAACAUAAUCAAGUGGCGGAUGCUUUGAGUAGGUGUGUGGAUUUGAUCAAGACCCUUAGUGUUGAGAUUGUUCGGUUUGAGUGCUUGAAAGAAUUAUAUGCGAUAGACGAUGAUUUCAAACAUAUGUGGGAACAAUGCAUGUCUCAACAACCGUCAGGAAAUUUCUAUGUGCAUGAUGGGUUUCUCAUGAAGGGAAAUCAGCUAUGCAUCCCUUACACAUCCCUUCGUGAGAAAAUUAUUCGAGAUUUGCAUGGUGGUGGCUUAGCAGGGCAUCUUGGUAGGGACAAGACUAUUGAAACUGUUAUGGGAAGGUAUUAUUGGCCAAGAGCAAGGAGAGAUGUUUUUAUUAUUGUGGCCAGGUGUUAUGUAUGUCAAAUAGCUAAGGGGCAAUCUUCUAAUGCGGGUCUCUACAUGCCAUUGCUUGUUUCCAAUGCUAUUUGGGAAGAUUUGUCUAUGGACUUCGUGUUGGGUCUACCGCGAACUCAACGAGGUAUGGAUUUUGUUUUUGUAGUGGUUGACAAGUUUUCCAAGAUGGCGCACUUUAUUUCAUGCAAGAAGACAACAGAUGCAAUAGCUACAACCAAAUUGUUUUUCAGGGAGGUUGUUAGAUUACAUGGAGUCCCUAAAAUUAUUACUUCGGAUCGUGAUAUAGGGUUCUUGAGUCAAUUCUAGAUUACCUUGUGGAGGAUGUUCGAUUCAUCUUUGAAUUUCAACAGUGCAGUGCAUUCCCAGACUGAUGGACAAACAAAGGUGGUGAAUCGUGCAUUGGGAAAUCUGAUUCGUAGUGUUUGCAAAGACAAGUCAAGACAAUGGGCCUGUUUGUUGCAGCUUAAAAGCUGCAACUUUUAGCUUCUAGCUUCAAAAAAGUGGGUAUGUAGUGUUUGUUUUAGCUUUUAGAAUUCUAGCUUAUAGCUUCUACUAGUUUUUAGAAGGGGUAGAAGCUGGCUUUUUCAAAACUGGGGUACCCCAGCUUCUACAACUUCUGAUUAAACAGUUACAUUUUUUUGACAAUUUUGCCCCUAUUUUUAACAAAGAAUUACUCUUCUGUCCACGCAAUCAAGGGUCUCUCUUCUCCACCUCCAUCUCCAUUUUCAAAUCUCUUCUUCUCUCUCACCAUCUCCCUUUCUCUCUAUAUACUAAUUAAUUUUUUUAUAACACUUGAAACUUAUAUGUAUACACUAAUUAAUUUUUAAAUUAUCAUUCUAUUACUAUUAAGGGUAUUAUGGAUAAUUAUCCAAAAAUAAGUUAUUUUACAGCUUAUGGUAUCAAACACUACAACUGUUUAACUACAACUUCUGAGAAGUUGUAACAAAUAAGUUCAUAACUUAUUUUAAGUUUUAGAAGCUAUAAUCUAAGAAGUUAGAAGCUAUAAUUUCUUUAAUUAAGUUGCAACAAACGGGGUCAAUGGGACCUAGUCAUAACUCAAGCGGAAUUUGCCUAUAACAACAUCGUGCAUAGCUCAACAGGAAGAUCGCCAUUUUCCAUCAUAUAUAUGAAAGUUACUAAUCAUGCAUCGAAUUUGGUAAAGUUGCCAAAGGUAUCAGGUUUCAGUGUUGCAGCUAGUGACUUAGUUGAGCAAGUUCAAGUAGUUUAAGAGGAUGUCAAGCAAAAGUUGCACAAGGCGAAUGAGAAGUACAAGGUGGCAACUGACAAGUAUAGGAAACACAAGAUAUUUGAGGUUGGAGAUGAAAUCAUGAUAUUCUUGAAGAAGGAACGAAUUCCAGCAGGAAAACAAAACAAGUUCAAGCCAAAGAAUUAUAGUCCUUACAAGAUUACAAAGAAGGUCAAUAACAAUGCUUAUGUUGUGGAUUUGCCUAAUCAUAUGGGUAUUUCCAAAACAUUUAAUGUUGCUGAUCUUUCUUUGUAUUUGUCUGAUGUUGAGUUGUCAUACCCGGAUCAUAAUUCGAGGAUGAAUUCUUCUCAAGUGAAGGUUAAUGAUGCGGUCACCGAUCAAGACUCGACCCAAAGCCGACCCGACCCAAACCGGGCAGCCUAGAAUCGGCCCAAACAGUAGCGUCGGAGCAAUAGCGAAACUUCAUAAGUUUUAGGAUUCUACUUCAUGUUUGAUUAGGGUUUUAUUUCUAUUAGGAUUCUAGUUGGAUUUUAUUUACAAGUAUUAGAUGGAUUAGUCAAACUUUAUAAAUAUACUUAGAAGUUAGAGGUUGUAAUCAGUUUUUUUUAUUCGAUAAAUUCUAGCAAACCAGUUCGGUUUUUUCCAGCAAAUAGCUUCGGUUUUUGCGCCUAGUUGAGAGUCCAGAUUUGGUCGUUGAAGUUUGUUCUCUCAAGAGUACUUGAAACUUAUUGUUUCAAUAAUUUCUUUGUGUGUUUUCUUUACACAAGCACUACACACUGUGUCAUCUUCUCUCAAAAUGGAGAGGCAUGAUAAUAGCUUGUAUAAUGGCCUGCAUUUUUAUUCCCCAAGUUGAGGAAUAAUUAAAUUUAAUUAUUUUGUGAUUAAUUGGGUGUUGGGUCUAAUCAUGCAUACAAAAACAGAAACUUCAACUGCUAUGGCGACACUCAAUUUUCGAGGCUCCAGUACAAAUUUUUGGGAUCUUGUUCUGAAAAAACUGAACUAGGGAGCCAUUUAUGCUUGGGAAUGAGAUUAAAUACAUGAUUUUAACAUGUUAUUGGUCACAUUAUGAAGACUAUCCAUUAGUGAUUAAUAUUUAUUUUGGGGAUUAAAUGAUUAUUUAAUGGUUGGAGAGUAUUUUUGCCAAAGACUAAAAGAAUGAUGAUUUGAAUGAGGCUAUGUGUGGGAGACUUAGUAGGCAUUUUAUGAGGGGUAUAUUAGUCAUUUAAACAUGUCACCUUAAUGCUUGAUUAGUCGAUUAAGUGCUUGAGGGUUAGUGCCAAUCAUUAGCAAAGGGAAGAAGACAAAAUUGGAGGGACCAGAAGUGUGCAUGGGGACGAGGGCUGAAAACAUAAGAGAUGGGUUGCAAAAGGGGAAUAGAAUCUCUUCAAAAAAGGGUGAUAUUUCUUGAAAAAAAAAAAAAAAGAGAACGCAUGGUUGCCUAGAGGAAGUACAACCAAGGAAUGACCUGCAUCCCCUCAAGAGGAGACCAAAAGAAGGUGUAGAAUGGACUUCUUUUGCCCAAGAGUCUGUAGUAUCAUACUUGGAGAAUCAGUUCUCCUCACUUCAUUAUUAGGCUAGAUAUGUUCAUGAAUGAUUAGAGGUUGAUGAGUAUAUGUUUUGUUGGGUUUGAAUCCUUAUGGUAAGUCUAGAGGAACACUGAUUUUGAAGUUCUUUGGCUCUCAUCUUUAACUGAUGGUAAGCCUCACGCUCAUUCUCAUAUAGCUAAUGAAAAAUGCUUAUGGAUACUUUGAAAAGAUAAACAAGUGUUUUGGAAGAAGCUAAAAUGGACUUACUGGUUUUAAAUAGGAAAUAAGGAGUUUGGAAUGGGUUACAAUGAAUUACGGUAGACUGGAGAGGGAAAACUGUCACCUGACAACCCCAAAAAUCAGUGAAAGAAGGCAAUUUGCCUUCUGUUGAUCAUCUGGGAAGGGACAACAGUUGCCUGAGAGGGGAAAAAUGUCUGGAGAGGCUGUUCAGCUUGUGUUGGUUGACUGCUUGAGGAAAGUGGUUGACCGAUAGAAGCUUCUCAACUCAACAGAAGACUGCACUGACCUGUGAACUUAGGACAUCGAUUUGAGGGGUCAAAUGAUGUUGAAUUGACCUGAUUUUUUUUUAGUUAUUGAUCUUUGAUAGAGCUUUUCUAUGGACAUGUGAUUUGUAAAAUUUGGAUAAGAUUUGAUUGGUCAAAUAAUCAAAAAUAGGAAGAGAUGUCAAAGCGGUAACGAAGUGGUGAACAACAGUCUUCAAGAAAUUAUUUGACAAGUCAAAUAAUGUCCAAUAGGGCUGAAUUUUAACAUGCCUUACAUGUAUGAAAGAACUUUCAGUGGUGAAAAUAUUGUAAUUUUUAGUUAAGGUUUGAGUGGCCUAAUAAUUAAAUUAUGACACGGUUUCAUAAGGGAGAGGUAAUGUAACAAACUCAAUAAAUAUUGGAUUGUUUCAUGAGAAGGGUGUGACACCUAUCCAAGGUGGAAUUUUCCAACAAUUCGAGGAAUGUUUCUCAGUGAUUAAGGGAUUAAUUAGGUUUGAUCAAAUGCUUUAAAAUAAAUUAAUUACCCCUCAGUUAAAUUUGGCAAUUGUAAGUGGGAUUUAUUAAGUACUUGUAUCAGACACACGCUCUUUAAUUGGUGGCAAGAAAAACCGAGAGAUUUCCCCAAAUAAUAAUUCCACUGUGUAAUCCAGUUAGGUGUCAAAUAUGGGAAGAAUCCCAUAUUUUUCCAUUUAUUAUUAGAACAAAUAGCGGGUGCCACAACUUGCCUUUCCUAUCAUGUUUGUUCUCUCAUCUAUUCCUUUCUUGUAUCUAUCUCUCAUCCUAGCUGAGAGGAAAAGAACUAGCAUACUUUAUUCUCCAGCCAUACUUGUUUUACAUAAAAAGUGGUGAGUUUCAGUUUAUAAGAGAAAUUUAUUGAGGUUAUAGACUUUAGGUUUCCAUUAGUCCAAGAAUUUCCAUGAGGUGGAAUGAGCUCAGAAUAGAGUUGAGGCUAAUUGUCAUAAGGCAUGCUGCUACUUUUAGGUACAUGCUAUGAAGUAUUAGCCUGUUCACACAUACAAAGGCUUCCUUUUGGUUGGUGGUGAGGAAUCAUGAGUGGGCCUCCAUUUAGUUGCUUAUCAGCUUAAAAAUGAAGCCAUUCUUGCCUGAUGACUAUUUUUGUAGUAGUAUGUGGACUGCUCUCUGGUUAUUUUUUCAGGGAACUGCAUUGAGUGUGCAAAUUAAAGCAUUACAUCUAGCACUGGAGCUAGUGGAUGUUCUUUGACUCAUAUUUCCAGCAUUGAGAUUAUAAUAAGAGAUUAGCAAUCUUAAAAGAGUUUUAGUGUUUGUUUAUAGAUGAAACAUUAAGGUCAAUUAAAGUACUUUUUGGAAUCGAAGAAACAAAUUAUCAGGGAUAUACAUCUCUUGGAUAAAGUAUAUGCUGAUAUUUGCUGAAGAAAACAGGUGAGGUUUGUACAAAAUCAGCUGAGAUGUGAAGGAUCCUAAUGUUAAGUUGGCAAUGAGGAAAGAGCACUGCUCGUGGGAAAGCUUCUGACAUUUAAAGGGCUAUUUCUGUGAAAGAAACUCAGCUAAUUGAAAAUGUUGCUUCACACCUUGAUAUUGGAACUGAGGAUACUUCAAAUGAAGUCCGGAUUAUGUCCCCAAAGGAAGACAGUAUGAGAAACUUGGAUGGAGAAAAAGACCUGGA